ACCAGAUGAGGAUAAGGGGCGGACUACUGUAUAUACACUGGAUGAGAACAAGGGGGGACUACUGUAUACACACGGGAUGAGGAUAAGGGGGGAAUACUGUAGACACACCGGAUAAGGGGGGACUACUGUAUACACACCGGAUGAGGAUAAGGGGGGACUACUGUAUACACACCGGAUGAGGAUAAGGGGGGACUACUGUAGACACACCGGAUAAGGGGGGACUACUGUAUACACACCGGAUGAGGAUAAGGGGGGACUACUGUAUACACACCGGAUGAGGAUAAGGGGGGACUACUGUAUACACACCAGAUGAGGAUAAGGGGGGACUACUGUAUACACACACGGGAUGAGGAUAAGGGGGGACUACUGUAUACACAUUGGAUGAGGAUAAGGGGGGACUAUUGUAUACACACCAGAUGAGGAUAAGGGGGGACUACUGUAUACACACCAGAUGAGGAUAAGGGGGGACUACUGUAUACACACCGGAUGAGGAUAAGGGGAGACUACUGUAUACACACGGGAUGAGGAUGAGGGACUAUUGUAUACACACCAGAUGAGGAUAAGGGGGACUACUGUAUACACACCGGCUGAGGAUAAGGGGGGACUACUGUAGACACACCGCAAGAGGAUAAGGGGGGACUACUGUAUACACACCGGAUGAGGAUAAGGGGGGACUACUGUAUACACACCGGAUGAGGAUAAGGGGGGACUACUGUAUACACAUCGGGUAAGGGGGAACUACUGUAUACACACAGGACUGACUUUUUACAUUUAAAAAUCAGUGUGUUAGAAUUUAUACAAGAGAACUACUUUCUGCUAGAGGCUGCCCAGCUCCGCCCCUGGCUCUGCAUGGGGUCGGGGCCUGGGCAGGGGAGAGUGAGAUGCCUGCACCUAUUCAUCUCAUUGGUGUGGACACUGCUCAGAGUACCCUGGAUCCUUUUCAAAACCGCCCCCAAAGCCAGCACAGCCCAAGUCGCCAAGGCUGUGGACGGAGCUUUAUGGUCCCUCCCUUUUCAGAACUGGGAGAAACCGCCCACU
rnacentral:lncRNA from 1 species